rnacentral:lncRNA from 1 species
AGAGGCCUCUCUUCUGAUAUCCUUCUUAACUUAAUCUACACUGGCUGUGGGUUCCCUUUAUUUUUUUUUCUGGAAUCCUAGAGGAUGCACGGAUACAAUUCACCCAAUGUGUCCAUCUCUCCUCUCCUAAGUGUCAGUCUAUAGGUUUCUGACCUCUAGAGGGUAAGCAACUUGCCCGAGAUCCCCUAGCUGGUCUGAGCAGCAAAGCCUUUGAACGCAGUUUUGACUCUGGAGCUGCAUUCUUCAUUCUUAUCCUACACUUGCUUGUGAAUUCUUUUUCGUCCUUCCAGAAUCCCUGAAGCUGUACAGCUAUACUUUACCGGUUACGUCUAGACUAUAAAGGACCACAGUGUUCCACCUCAGGCAGGUUCAGCGACCUGCAAGUAGUGAUACAGCUGGGAAAGUUACAGAGCCUGCGGGAAGCUCCGGCUGCAACUUCAGUUCUGACCAGAGGUUCUGUGAACCUUCAGGAUUUAGCAGGUUUCCAGGACCGG